GCAUAUACUUCUUCUCUUUGUUCUCUUUUGCGUGUUGCUGAAGAUGACACAUAAACUUUGUCAAAAUGCAAACAAAAGUUUUUUAGAAGUUCAUCAAAUAAAUUUCUUCAUAUUGUGAACUCAACUUAAGAAUUAGUAGUAUGGAUACGAGCGCUGGAUUAUUUCACAAAUCUGAGGUUUUAUUUGAUUUAGCGCCAACACCAUAGCUUCAUUCAUCUGAUACGCGUGGAUGUGAUGUGUUGCCAUAUUGUAUCAUUCUAUGUGGUUGUUUUUAAAAACAAGUGUAAUGAAAAUCGACCAAAAAAAAUAAUAAUCAUAAUAAUUUUGCUGAUUUAAACACUCGAAUGUGCGACCAUACAUCAAUAAUGUAUGAACUGUAAUAAAUGUGUGCGAUCACACAUCAAAUUGCUGCUGGUUUUGGUUGUGAAUGAAGACAGUUCAGAAUGAAGACAUUAGGUUUGGUGAUAACGCUAUUUUCUAAGCCUGGAACUCAUGUGCAGCGAUGCAAUGUAAAUUAAAAAAUAAAAUAAAAACAAAAAAAAAACGAUAACGUCAACAGAACAAUCUAAAGCAAACGUUAUCAUCGAGCAAAAUCAAAGAAAGAAAACACAGAAGCGAAUUUAAUGAACUUGACAAACUUCAAUAAUAUGCUUUAUUGUUUUUUUUUUGUUGUUGUUGUUGUUUUUGUAAACUAUUCAUUUAUCAUAAUU